rnacentral:rRNA from 1 species
UGGGGAAUAUUGGACAAUGGGCGAAAGCCUGAUCCAGCCAUGCCGCGUGUGUGAAGAAGGUCUUCGGAUUGUAAAGCACUUUAAGUUGGGAGGAAGGGCAUUAACCUAAUACGUUAGUGUUUUGACGUUACCGACAGAAUAAGCACCGGCUAACUCUGUGCCAGCAGCCGCGGUAAUACAGAGGGUGCAAGCGUUAAUCGGAAUUACUGGGCGUAAAGCGCGCGGAGGUGGUUUGUUAAGUUGGAUGUGAAAUCCGCGGGCUCAACCUGGGAACUGCAUUCAAAACUGACUGACUAGAGUAUGGUAGAGGGUGGUGGAAUUUCCUGUGUAGCGGUGAAAUGCGUAGAUAUAGGAAGGAACACCAGUGGCGAAGGCGACCACCUGGACUAAUACUGACACUGAGGUGCGAAAGCGUGGGGAGCAAACA